rnacentral:lncRNA from 1 species
GAAGGCCAAUGUUUCUUUUGAAACUAGCCGUCCUAAAAUCCUAGUUGAUCUUCUAGAAUUGAAGCUGGAAGCGAAGAGAUCGAAGAAAUAAAGCCCAUCAUUAAGAAUGUCGUUGAAUCACUUCAAUUCUUCAUGGGGAAGUAUGAAAUUGUGAACAAGAAAAAGGACAUGCUGUAUGAUUAAAUUUCAAAAAAUUGAAGGACUUAUGUCAGAUCAGGUAAUGAAGGCAGCAAUUACUAUCGUCAAAGACGCUGAUUUGCUGCGAUUGUCCUAAAUGUUCUUCCUGCACUUUGAUAAACUUGGCGACUAUUUGUCAAUCUUUUUCCAGUUUGCUAUCUGUUUUUUCUCGUGGUAUAAUUUGGUUUCGGAUUUGGACUCCUACUAAUUAUGUACUCCUUUGACUAAGUUUGGAUUGUUAUGAACUCCUUGAUAUGGACUUCUUUGUCUGAGUUUGAUCAAU